AGUUAUUUAGCUUAAAUAAUAAAAAGCAUAUAUUUUGAAAAUAUAAGAUAGAAAAUUUUAAUAACUU
rnacentral:tRNA from 1 species